rfam:Camponotus floridanus CamFlo_1.0_3.contig1024, whole genome shotgun sequence.
GUCUGGAUAGCUCAGUAGUCUAGAGCAGUUGCCCGGAAAGCGAAAGAUUCGGGUUCGAUUCCCGAUCCAACCA